rnacentral:lncRNA from 1 species
UAAGUGAAAUGGUGGGGUAAAGCGAAAUAGCACGUUUUCAUAUUCUUCCGCAAACGGAGUCGCCGCACUGUGUGUUUACAAUUCAGUCUUCAGUCAAUGUUUAGAAGUAGUACGUGCUUAUCGACCACUUUGUUGCCGUCGUCUGUGGGUGUUAUUGAAAAUAUCACUGUUUAUACAUUUUUGGUCCACAAUUAGUAAUAUCUGCAGGUGUAAAAUGCGAAAUUAGAAACGAAAAACGACCCAACAACAAUGGUCUGUGGAGUCAAUGAAAGCUGCAAUCAGGUCUGUGCGAACGGGUGUCCUUAGCCAAAAUCAAGCUGCUAGGCAAUACGAAAUUCCUGUUGCUACGUUAAAUCGGAGAAUCAAA